rnacentral:rRNA from 1 species
GAUCCUGGCUCAGAAUCAACGCUGGCGGCGUGCCUAACACAUGCAAGUCGAACGCGAAAGCCCCUUCGGGGGUAAGUAGAGUGGCGCCCGGGUGAGUAACACGUGGGUAAUCUGCCUUCGGGUGGGGAAUAACCCAGGGAAACUUGGGCUAAUACCGCAUAAUGCAGCGGCACCUAAUGGUGAUUAGUUGUUAAAGCGGGGGAUCGCAAGACCUCGCGCCUGAAGAGGAGCCUGCGGCAGAUUAGCUAGUUGGUGAGGUAAUGGCUCACCAAGGCUUCGAUCUGUAGCUGGUCUGAGAGGACGGCCAGCCACACUGGCACUGACACACGGGCCAGACUCCUACGGGAGGCAGCAGUGGGGAAUUUUGGGCAAUGGGCGCAAGCCUGACCCAGCAACGCCGCGUGAGGGAGGAAAUCCUUCGGGAUGUAAACCUCACAAGCAAGGGAAGAGAGCUACGGGCUGAAUAAUCCCGUAGUGCGACGGUACCUUGCGUAAGCCACGGCUAACUACGUGCCAGCAGCCGCGGUAAUACGUAGGUGGCAAGCGUUGUUCGGAAUUAUUGGGCGUAAAGGGCGCGUAGGCGGCAUGUUAAGUCGGCUGUGAAAGCCCGGGGCUCAACCCCGGAGGGUCAGCCGAUACUGGCAAGCUAGAGUACGGAAGAGGUAGCUGGAAUUCCCGGUGUAGCGGUGA